CAACUCGUCAAACCCCAUCGUCUGUCAUAUGUCAAGAUUUAUUCGACUUGAGUUCGAUAGUGGAAAACUCUUUCUCCACUUUAUAUUACUGCCCUGGCCAAGGUCUUAGAACUCAGUCUAACAAAUCACAUAGGAUCACUUCUCUUCUAUCAAGGUCGAUAGAUUCCUUAUAGGUGCAUACCCUACUCCUACAGUGAACUUACUGCAGCCAAUCUACACUGCAUGGACCCAUAUGGCUAGAGACCAUAUAUGUGUGCAGUCAAACUACAAUAACCUCACUGUGAGUAGCCGAAGCACCGCAGGUCAAAGGACCAGUCACACUACUGCAACAUCAAGCAAGUCACUAACGAGUGGAUAGACAUCCAAGUGACUUCUUGU
rnacentral:lncRNA from 1 species